ensembl:rRNA 5S_rRNA 5S ribosomal RNA
CUGUGUGGCCAUACCACCCUGAACGUGCCUGAUCUCGUCUGAUCUCGGAAACUAAGCAGGGCCUGGUUAGUACUUGGAUGGGAAACAGUGAGUCCUUCAAUGGAGUUGCUAUGCAAC